AUUUGUAAGAUACAAUUUUAUAUUUUCCUGGGCAAAAUAUAAAAUUAACCUUUUGGAAACCGCCCCCCCCCCCAAAAAAAAAAGGAAUAUAAUUUUUGACAUUAAGAAACAUGCAGACCUUUACCUAUUACAAGGCCCCCGUUACCACUGCAGAAGCGGGGCAUAUUCCUCUAGAGCAUGGAAUUGCCAUGAGUAAGAUUAUCAUCCAUUGGCCUUCCACAACUUGGUGGCUGGUUAAGGGAGUGCCUUCAGGGUACAUAGUAAAAUGUGUUGAAUGUUCACAUAUUGGAUCGGUAAACCUGUAUAGUGGUUGCCAUCCAUCUCUUUUGCUGUACAGCCUAGAAUCUGAGGUCUUUGAAUUGGGACUUUUGAUAAAUCCCGAAGAUUCAUGCCACUGUCCCAGCAUUUCUAGACUUUGGGGACAGAGGGGGUAAACAGGAUGGCAGUGGAGGUUCCAGCUGCUACCUGAACUUGUGCUGCCGUCACCCUCAUGAGCUCUAAGAGCUGGUUCUGACUUGAUUCCUCAGAAUGUUUUAGCUGAAAGUUUGGCUUCUAUUUCCCCCAUCCUGGUGUUAGGUUCGUCUACUCUGAGAUGUAGGUGCCACUUCUCAUGCUCUUGGUCUUUCAGAGCCAAGCCCUGGUCUGUCGCAUUUUAAUUGCUCAUAUUUCCCUUGUGUCUAAAGUGGGUUUUGACUCUUAUCUAAGCCCUGAGAGCUCAGUGGAGGAGUUGUGGUGCUUCAUGCUAGAUCUGAAAGCUUGCAGAGAAGAUCCUUAAAAGUUAUGGGGAAGACAAGACACGUAAAAGAGAUACAUACGUGUUCAUUCACCAGUUGGCUCAUGAGAGUCAAACAUCAGAGACAAACACUAAAAGAAUUCAGAGAAGAAACAUCAUUAGAAAUUGAAGAGAUGAAAAGAGAUGUGGAAGGGGUGAGCCAGCCUGGACCCUGUGGAGGCAUAUAACCCUCUAGCUGAUGGUGGGACAACUAGAUAGAAGUGACCUGCAUCCCUGGAUGGCAUUAGUGUCCUCUUACCCUCAACUGCCCACCUACCAGAAAAACAAACAUCUCUCUUGAGUCCCACGUGCUUCUAGGUCUCUUUGUUACAGCAGCUUAGCUUGUGCCUUAUCUUGUCCGGUGGAAGAGCAGCCCAACCAGAAGUCUCUGAAUGGAAGGAUUAAAGCAGAAGAGCAGGAAAAGAAAAAAAAGGAGAAAAGCCAGAGGCAUUAUGAGACCGAUGCUAUUGGAGGCUCACAGAAAGCAGUACUACAAAAGCCCAAAGCAUGGUUGCUGAUGGUUGAAACUUGAAGUUGAAAAACAACCAAUUCGUGGAUGGAAUAUGUUUUAUAGAGCAUAAAUAACAGUUUGCCUUGUGCUGUCUCCACCUGCCAUGCCGAUGUUCUAUUCCUGGUUAAAAGUCUGACCUUGGCUUCACCAUUUUCAUAAAUAAAACCUGUCUUGAUUACUAGAUGGAAA